AGUGAACGCUGGCGGCAGGCCUAACACAUGCAAGUCGAGCGGCAGCGCGGGGGCAACCCUGGUGGCGAGCGGCGGACGGGUGAGUGAUUAAUCGGUAGAUGCCUUAUUGUGGGGGAUAACGUAGGUAAACUAAAGCUAAUACCGCAUAGGUCAUAAGGGAGAAAGUGGGGGAUCGCAAGGCAUAAAGCAGAAAGAUGAGCCGACGACAGAUUAGCUAGUUGGUGGGGUAAAGGCCUACCAAGGCGACGUUCGGUAGCUGGUCUGAGAGGAUGAUCAGCCACACUGGAACUGAGACACGGCCCAGACUCCUACGGGAGGCAGCAGUGGGGAAUAUUCGACAAUGGGCGCAAGCCUGAUCCAGCCAUGCCGCGUGUGUGAUGAAGGCCUUCGGAUUGUAAAGCACUUUUAUCCGGAAAGAAAACCCGUGAGCUAAUACCUUCGGGUGUUGACGGUACCUGAUGAGUAAGCACCGGCUAACUUCGUG
rnacentral:rRNA from 1 species